GGGUUCGAUUCCGGAGAGGGAGCCUGAGAAACGGUACCACAUCCAAGGAAGGCAGCAGGCGCGCAAAUUACCCAAUCCCGACACGGGGAGGUAGUGACAAUAAAUAACAAUAUAGGGCUCUUUUGGGUCUUAUAAUUGGAAUGAGUACAAUUUAAAUCUCUUAACGAGGAACAAUUGGAGGGCAAGUCUGGUGCCAGCAGCCGCGGUAAUUCCAGCUCCAAUAGCGUAUAUUAAAGUUGUUGCAGUUAAAAAGCUCGUAGUUGAACCUUGGGCCUGGCUGGCCGGUCCGCCUCACCGCGUGCACUGGUCCGGCCGGGCCUUUCCUUCUGGGGAGCCGCAUGCCCUUCACUGGGUGUGUCGGGGAACCAGGACUUUUACUUUGAAAAAAUUAGAGUGUUCAAAGCAGGCCUAUGGUCGAAUUACUUAGCAUGGAAUAAUAGAA
rnacentral:rRNA from 1 species